AUUCCAAUUAAUUAUAGUCGAAUUUCGACUACUGCGGGACCACUAGUAAAUUACUAAAGUGUGCUUGUAUUUUAAAGUUAAGGAAAAUUAUUACAUAAGUACCUACUUAACUUUUUUGUCAGUUAAAACUUCCAUACGCAACGAUAUCGCUGGUAAGGCUUAGUUUUCAAAUGAAGAAACGGCCUUGUUUAAAACAUUACUUUGCCAUUCAUAAUUGAACCAUAGAAUAAUAGUUUUUUGUCGCUGUUUUUUUAAAAAGUAACUAUCUUUCUGCUCGUAAUUUAACAUGCUGGAUUACAUUUUUUAUAACGCGUGAUUAGAGAUCAAUCUUCAGCAGUGGGAUAAAAUGUAAUGUAUAUUCUUUUCUAGAGUUCAAAUUAUUUCAAUACCAAAUUUUGUUAAAGCCAAUUGAACGGUUUGUGCGUGAAAACGUAACAGAGCUAUUUUCUAUUAGUAUGUAGUAGUCGAGUGCGAAUAAUUUUGAGUCUACCAAGAAAAUUACCGUUUAGUACAGAGAAUGUUACAGUAUUUUUUUUAUUUUUUUUUUCAAUCUAUCAAAAUAUGCACCCUUAUCGGCUAGCGAAGUGGUUAUUUUUGCCACCCAAACAUAAAUCACGUUUCAAAUGGCCAGUAUUGUAAAACGGCUGCUUCAUACCUAGUAUUAAUAAAGGAAUAUUAGCUUUUACUGCUUCAUUGGCCUUGAUGUUGAUCAAAAUAUGACAUGAUUAAAUAUUUGACAAACCUACUCUUCUAGGUCAGCGGUGUUGCUUCCGCAUAUACGUAGAUGUUCGAAUACUUAUAUAAGUAUUCGAGAUUGGAAACAAAUCAGUAUGUUUUAGUAGAUUAUUUUAGUAUAGGUACUUACGACACAUAAUUAUGUUUAAUUGAAAACUCCGUAAUGGCUGUGAAUGUCAAUGAAAAUGUUUGCGUUCUAUCGAAUAUAUAUAUUUUAUUGUUUAGAUGGGUGGGCGAGCUCAGAGCCCAGCUCUCAAGGCUGCCAUCUUAGGUAGGAAAAAAAUUGGGGAUUCUACCUCGAUGCCCGGGACACCAGUUCAAACCAACAACGGUCUACUAUGUAUAGUAACAAUAAUAAUAAUUAUAAGAAAUUUAGAGAGGUGAGGAAAACAAAUGCUUACGAUUGACUUCCACGGUGAAGGAAUAACAUCGUGUAAUAAAAAUCAAACCCGCAUAAUUAUAAUAUGGGUAAUUACCGGUGGUAGGACAUCUUAUAAGUCCGCACGUGUAGGUACCAUCCCGCCUAUUUCAGCUGUGAAGCAGUAAUACGUUUCGAUUUGAAAGGUGGGGCAGCUGUUGUACUGUAAAUACUGAGACCUUAGAACUCAUAUCUCAUAUCUAGAGUAGAUAUAUCUGAACCCUUUAUAACGAGACUAAUAAUAAUUAGUAUUGUAAAAUAUAGGCAAUUGUAAUAUACAAACAAAAUUCUACCCGAAUUAAUAGCUUUUUGUUUUGUUCUUUUUUUGCAGACGCUUCAAAAAACCUUAUUCUGACAAUUCUUUGAAACAACGAUCGUUGAGAAUUCACAAUGACGUCAAAAGCGUUGUAAUGUGUAAUUGAUUGAUUUGAAUGGAGCCGAUAGUUGUUUUAAUCGUUUAUAUUUAAAUCGUUGUUGAUUUAAAAACAAGAUGUAGCUUAGCAAUUAAGCCGUAGUUUAAAUAACUACACUAAUAAAAGUUAAAUUAUCUUACAGAGUUUGAUUGGUAUUGCUAUUAAUUAACACAGUUAACGUGAAAAUUAUGUGCAUAUUAUCAUUUUCGUUGCGGAACUAUUUUCAAAGGAAACCAGGUGUGGCUUUUUGAUGAUGAGACACAUUUUUCUAAUGAAAAAACGCAAAAAACUUGAGGAAGAAUUUUGGAAAUUAACGAAUUAAAAACGUGCUGACCGAGAAUAGUUACUUUGGGAAGUACCUAUAUUGGAUUGGUGACAAACCGACGCGAUGGUAAAAGGCUACCUUUGCGGAUGCACAUACUUGCGGUCAGUCCCUCAUGAGAUUGGCGGCGCCGUCUACUCAUCAAAUUGGACCGGUACUUUUAUUUAUUACUAAGAAGGAUGGACGAGCUCACGGCCCACCUGGUGCUAAGUGGUUAUACCAGAGCCCGAAGACAUCAACAAGGAGGAGUAGGAGUUUGAGGCGUUGUCAAAGUCAAGGGCUACUAAGCUCUUCUCCAUAGAGGGCUCUUAAAGGCCUAAAUGAAAAUCGUCUUUAAUAAAA